rnacentral:rRNA from 1 species
GACGAACGCUGGCGGCGUGCCUAAUACAUGCAAGUAGAACGCUGAAGGAGGAGCUUGCUCUUCUGGAUGAUUUGCGCACGGGUGAGUAACGCGUAGGUAACCUGCCUGGUAGCGGGGGAUAACUCUUGGAAAAGAUAGCUAAUACCGCAUAAGAGUAGAUGUUGCAUGACAUUUACUUAAAAGGUGCAAUUGCAUCACUACCAGAUGGACCUGCGUCGUAUUAGCUAGUUGGUGGGGUAACGGCUUACCAAGGCGACGAUUCAUAGCCGACCUGAGAGGGGGAUCGGCCAAAAUUGGACUGAGGCACGGCUCAAGCUCCUUCGGGAGGCAGCAGUAGGGAAUCUUCGCCAAUGGGCCGAAGGCUGACCGAGGAACGCCGGGGGAGUGGAGAAAGGUUUCGGAUCGUAAAGCUCUUUUGAAAGGGAAGAACGAAUGGGGGAGUUGAAAGUGCACGCUUUGACGGUAUCUUAUCAGAAAGGCACGGCUAACUACGUG